UACGUAGGCAGCGAGCGUUGUUCGGAGUUACUGGGCGUAAAGAGUGCGUAGGCGGUUUUCUAAGUUUGGUGUGAAAUCUCCCGGCUUAACUGGGAGGGUGCGCCGAAAACUGGAAGGCUUGAGUAUGGGAGAGGUAAGCGGAAUUCCUGGUGUAGCGGUGAAAUGCGUAGAUAUCGGGAGGAACACCAGUGGCGAAGGCGGCGAUCUGGACGGAUAUUGACGCUGAUGUACGAAAGCGUGGGGAGCAAACAGG
rnacentral:rRNA from 1 species